rnacentral:lncRNA from 1 species
AAGUUGACUAUUUUUUCCCCUCCUCUUUCUGUCCUACUUUGCCUGCUAAGAAUGCAGAAGGGUUUUUUCAAAGUUUAAAAUUACCAAAAUUAUUUAUUCAAGAAUUAUUUAUUAGAGUAUUAUUCCUUAAUAUUCAUUCCUCCAUUUUGAAAAAAAUUAAAAUAUUAAAAUGUGACCAUUAACUAUCGUUCCUAAGUCCUACCAAGGUUAAUGCGCAUCUUUCUCACAAAGAUUAUUCCAACAAGUGGAACAUGUAAUGCUUUCAAAGUUUUCAUAAAUCUUUGCCCCAAAAUUAUGCCAGCUGGCUAUUUAAUGUAACUACCAAAGAGCAGAGGAGUUCUUGUUGUGGCUUAGCUAGUUAAGAACCUGAUAUAGCAUCCAUGGGGAAGCAGGUUCAAUCCCUGACCUCUCUCAGUGGGUUAAGGAUCCAGCAUUGCCUCAAGCUGUGGUGUAAGUUGCAGCUGUGUCUUGGAUCUGGUGUGGCUAUGGUAUAGACCAGCAGUGCUGCUCUGAUUCAUCCGCCAACCUUGGAACUUCCAUAUGCCCCAGGUGCAGCAGUAAUAAAUAAAUAGCAGAGAAGAAAUUCUAGCUAAAAUGAGGUAAUGGAAUUAAGAUUAGAUUUGUCACUAAAAAUCAUUUCUUCCUUGAGAGAGUUUAUAGGAGGAACAAAGCACCUCCCUCCUUUAAAGCAGUUAUGCAACUGCAGACAAAUAUCUCUGUAUCUGUCCCCUAAAAAGUCUAAAUUCUCAGUUUUAUCCACACAAUUCAAAAAAUCCAUUUAUCAGAGUUCCUAUUGUGGCUCAGUAGCUUAAAAACCCAAUGUUGUCUCUAUGAGGGUAUAGGUUCCAUCCCUAGCCUGGCUCAGUGGGUUAAGGAUCCGUGAGCUGCAGCAUAGGUCACAGAUGCAGCUCCAGUUAGACCCCUGGCUAGUAACUUCCAUAUGCCUCAGGAGUGGUGGUAAAAAGAAACACAAAUUUAUCUCACAAGCAGAGGGCUAAAACUACAUAGGCAGAGGACUCAAAAAAUGAAGUGAUAUCCAAAAGUGGCAAAAUAUUACCUUGGGGGUGGGGGGCAAUAACCAUUUGCUCUCCAGAUUUCUUGGAGUGUUGAAAUUUCACCCUCAUUGCUUAUAAGAACUAAAAAUUAAGUCUGGUAAAGAGAAGGAGUCCUCACAGAUAUCAAUAGGUAGUUGGUUUUUUUCAAAGUGUGACAUAUAAGAUCCACCUGAAGAGAAUAACCUGAGUUGCUUAUUUUAAAAAUAGACCACUACACACACUUACUGAGUCUCAGGUCACAUUUACUAAGGCAGAAUCUGUGAGGGCAGGCACACACAUUAAAAGUUUGAGAACCACUGAUUUAUUGAGUACUUAGAACAUUCCAGUUAUCAUGGGGAUAAGAUAUCAUUGCUGCUUCUCUGUUGGAACUCAAAAUCUAGCAGGCAGAGGGUAUACCUCCCAAAACAAAGGAAACAAAAAUACAGCUUCCUGGGAAAAGUACCAGUGGGAAAAGAGGGAAGGCCUAGCUUUCAAAGAAUUGGUGAGGUUGUACCACUUAUUCAUUCACUCACUCAUUCAUUUAAAAAAUAUACAUUAAGUAUGUGCACUGGACAGGCAACUGAGCCAGGUGCUUAGGACAGAGCAGUGGUAAAGAUUAACACUGACACUGCUCCUUGGGAGGCUGCCACUCUAGUGAGGAAGACAGAGAACACAUGGAAACAGACAUAAUUCAAGGUCUCAUACCAAAAAGAAAGUAGCAGAGAACAUGAGAGGGGAACACUUCAGAGAGGCUGCUUCAUUGGAAAAGUUCUUGUGAGGAGACAAGAUUUAAGAGAACUAAAGCACAAGGAAUAGGAAAAAUAGAAGGAAGAAUAUUCCAGUUAGAGAAACUGACCUGUGCAAAAUCCCUAGAGCAAAAAAGAUCUUGUUUUUGGAAUGAAAAGAAUAGUAGUGAUAAUAAUGAAUCAGGAGGAGGGUGGUUCAAGGUGAAAGUAAAUAGAUAAAUGCAAGUCAGGCAAACCUGUAAACUACAUUAAGUGGAUUGGAUUUCAUUCCAACUGCAGUGGAAAGUUACUGAAAGAUUGUAAUCAGAGGUGUGACAUGAUCUAUUUGAAAAAGAUCAUUCAAGCUGCUCUUCCUGAAAUAUGGAUUGAUGGUGGGCAGGGAGAAUUGUUAGGAGGAUGUUUUGGUAAUUUAGGUCAGGUAACAAUGGUCAUAUGAGAAAAGGAAAAUGUAAAUAAUUGUAAAUAUGUUUUGCAAAUGGAUCAACAGGUCUUGCUGACCAAUUGGAUUGGGGUUUAGAAAAAAGAGGGAAUGAUGUUGCUCCCUAGGUUUUGACCUUGAUUAACUGGAUUUUGACACCAUUAUAGUAAUUGGGAAGAUAAGAGAGAAUGAUAGGGAGGGAAAGAAUGAACAGGUUGGAAGAAAGAAAGGAAAUUAGAAAUUCCAUUUUUAAUAUGAUAGUUUUGAGCUAUGUGUGAAAGAAACAUCCAAGUAGAGAGGCAAGGUAUGAAGUCGAAUAUGUGGGUCUACAGUUCAAAGGGGAGUUCCAGCUUGGAGAAAAAGUGCAAAGAUGAUAAACUCCUAAGAAUUCCACUUCUGUGGAUUUGUUAAAAGAGGAGGAGGAACCAGGAAAGGAGACUGAGAAAGAACAACCAGGGAGGUAGGAAAUAAGUUAAAUCAAGUGUAUUAGUUCUCUAUUAUUGCAUUUAAAAGCUUAGCAUCUUAAAACACAAACAUUUAUUAUUACAUAGUUUCUACAGGUCAAGAAUCUGGAAGGUAUUAUCUGAAGGUUCUGGCUCAUGAAGUUGCAGUCAGGCUGCAGCUGAGACUACAGUCAUCUGAAGUCUGGACAUUCACUCCAUGAUCACAUGUGUAUGUUGGCAAGAGACCUCAGUUCCUCAUCACAUGGGCCUCUCCUCAGGAUGCCUGAGGGUCCCCAUGCUGUGGCUGGCUUCCCCCAGAGAUGGGAGAAGGGAGAGCCCAAGACAAAAGCUGCAGUUUUUAUAAGCUAUUCUCAGAAGUGACACACCAUCACUCUGUUGUGUUUUAUUGGUCACCCAGACCAUCCCCUGGCACAGUGGGAAAGUGAAUGACACAAAAGUGUGAGUGCCAGGAGGUGGAGAUCAUUGGGGACCAUCUUGGAGCUUACUACCAGACCAAGAGGCAAGUACUUUAAGUGUAUGAGGUCGAAAAGACAAGGACAGAGUAUGCUUAUGUGCAUUUUCACUUGCAGGAAACACUAAAUGAAUGUAGGAACUAUACUUCUCUAACAUGAGCUGGGUAGAAAUACUGAAACAUAAGUACCUCCAACACCUACCGGCUACUUUAGUUCAUACCAUCCACUGCUUACAUUACAACUUUCCUUCUGAUUUCACUUUACUCUCCUUCUACCACUUUACAAUAGCUCACAACUCACAACCUUCCUGAUAACCACUUCUUCAUGUAAACUUCAGGUAUUUUUAAGAUAUUGUUUUAUUGUAGUAUUUAUGUACUUCUUAACCACUUAACAUGUGGAACUCUGCUACCAUCUUUUUUUUCUUUUUNAUGGCCGCACCUGCAGCAUAUGGAAGUUCCCAGGCUAGGGGUCUAAUCAGAGCUAGAGCUGACGGCCUACACCACAGCCACGCAGGAUCCAAGCUGCAUCUGUGACCUACACCACAGCUCAUGGCAAUGCCAGAUGCUUAACCCACUGAGUGAGGCUAGGGAUCAAACCCGCAUCCUCAUGGAUACUAGUCGGGUUUGUUAACCACUGAGCCACGAAGGGAACUCCCUCUGCUAUCAUUUUUGUUAGGUUCCUUGGUUCCUUUGUGUGUGUGUGUGUGUGUGUGUGUAACUGAUGCAGUUUUUGAAUAUUAUAUCCCAAACCUAUUUUUUCCAAAAGCCCCGUGGUUCUGUGGUUUUUACUGUGAUUUUGCCUAGCACACUGAUUUUUUUAAAAAAAAUUUUUAUUAAAGUAUAGUUGAUUUACAGUGUGGUGUUUGUUUCAGAUAUACAGCAAUGUGAUUCAGUUAUAUAUACACAUAUAUAUGUGUAUAUAUACAGAUUCUUUUCGAUUCUUUUCAGAUUUUUUUCCAUUAUAGAGUAUUGCAAAAUAUCGAAUAUAGUUCCCUGUGUUAUAUAGGAGGUCCUUGUUUAUCUAUUUUGUACAUAGGAAUAUAUAUCUGUUAAUCCCAAAUUUCUGAUUAAUUCCUUACCCCCUUCUCCUUUGGCAGCCAUAUGAUUGUUUCCUAUGUCUGUGAGUCUGUUUGUUUUGUAAAUAAGUUUAUAUCAUUUUUUUAGAUUUCACAUAUACGUGAUGUCAUAUGAUAUUUGUCUUUAUCUGACUUAUUUCACUUAAUAUGAUAAUCUCUAGGUCCAUCCAUGUUGCCACAAGUGGAAUUAUUCCUUUUUAUGGCAGAGUGAUAUUCCUGUGUGUGUGUGUGUGUGUGUGUGUGUGUGUGCACCUCAUCUUCUUUACGCAUUCAUCUGCCAGUGGACAUUUCGGUUGUUUCUAUGUCUUGGCUAUUAUAAAUAGUGCUGCAGUGAACACUGGGGUGCAUGUAUCCUUUUGAAUUAGAGUUUUCAUCUUUUUAGAUGUUUGCCCAGGAGUGGAAUUGCAGGAUGGUAUGGUAGUUCUAUUUUUAGUUUUUUUAGGGAACUUCCAUAAUGUUCUUCAUAGUGGUUGCACCAAUUCCCAUUCCCAUCAAAAGUGUAGGAGGGUUCCCUUUUCUACCCACCCUAGCCAGCAUUUAAUAUUUGUUGACUUUUUGAUGUUGACCUUUCUAACCUGUGUGAUUGAUUUGCAUUUCUCUAAUAGCAACUUUGAAUAUCUUUUCAUGUGCUUAAUUGGCCAUAUAGAUGUCUUUUUUGGAGAAAUGUCUAUUUAGGUCUUCUGCCCAUUUUUUAAUGGGUCUUUUUUUAAAAUUGAGUUAUAUGAGCUGUUUGUAUAUUUUGAAAAUUAAAUACUUGUCAUUCACAUAUUUGCAAAUACUUUCUCCUAGUCUUUAAGGUUGUCUUUUCAUUUUAUUUAUGGUUUCCUUUACUGUGCAAAAGCUUGUAAGUUUGAUUAGGUGCCAUUUGUUUAUUUUUGCUUUUAUUUCUUUUGCCUUGGGAGACUGACAUAAGAAAACAUUGCUAUGAUUUAUGUCAGAGAAUGUUCUCCUCUGGGAGUUCUAUGGUAUUGUGUCUUAUGUUUAAGUCUUUAGGCAUUUUGAGUUUAUUUUUGUGUAUCGUGUGAGGGAGUAUUCUAACUCACUGAUUUACCUAUGGCUGUCCAACUUUCCCAACACUUCUUGCUGAAGAGACUAUCUUUUCUCCAUUGUAUAUUCUUGCCUCCUUUGUUGAAGAUUAAUUGGUUAGAGGUAUGUGGGUUGAUUUCUGGGCAUUAGCACAUUGAUUUUUAAGAACAUGUAUGUUUCAUGAUAGCAAAACUACUGUAUAACAUUCAAUAUAUAGCCCCAAUUUUUAAUGAUAAGGAAAUUGAAGCUUUAAGAGGUAGAAUAUCUUGCCAAAAGUCACAUGACAACUUAAGAUUUUUAUCGAAAGUCCAUCUGGCUGUAAAGACCACCUUCUUUCCACAGCAGUGUUUACCCACAUAAACAUUUAUAAUAGAAGGAAUAUUGAUCACCCUGACCUAGUGCUUUUCCUGUUAUAUAUAACCUAGUUAAUAAUUUCCAUAUGUCUUAUUCUAGAUAAUAGACUACAUAUUCUACCAUAUAUGCAUAUACAUAUAUAUUUAUUUAUCUGUGUUACCCCAAAAUAAGCAAAUUUAGACAUUUCACAGUGUUCAAGUAAUGAUUAAAUGGUCUUGCUAGUUGAAAUAAUGCAGAAUUAUAAUUUUAAGUAUUCAAGUUUUCAUUUCAAAUUUUCACUUUCAUUUGUGUGAUUAAGGCACAGGGUAAAUAGUAAUAUUACCACUUCUCCCUACCCUACCUACCAUGCUUUCUUAGCAAUGACAGUCUUGGGGUCAUCCAGCUCCAGCUCUCACAUGGACCACUUGUCACUAUUCCACAGAACUACUUAUGUUAGGGAAGGCUAAAUAGUUCCUAGAUCUAGGCCACAAUGAUGUGUUGCAUGAGGGUGGGCAAAAGGAUAGAUGUGACAUGAAAGUAUGUGGGAGGGUUUCAAGCUAGUAUAUUUAUUAGUGUUGUAAGAAAAGACACAAGGGGCGGUAAGAAAAUGUGCAGAAAGUGUCAACCAACUGGUCCAAGGGGACUAUAUAGUAAUGAUAUCCUCAUUCAAGCAUAGUUAGCUCAAGGGUGAGUUUAGGGUGCACAUUAACUGGAAAUUAAAUGUUUAAAGCAUUAGAAAAAUGAGCCACUGUGGAGUUCCCGUCGUGGCGCAGUGGUUAACGAAUCCGACUAGGAACCAUGAGGUUGUGGGUUCGGUCCCUGCCCUUGCUCAGUGGGUUAACGAUCCAGCGUUGCCGUGAGCUGUGGUGUAGGUUGCAGACAUGGCUCGGAUCCCGUGUUGCCGUGGCUCUGGCGUAGGCCGGUGGCUACAGCUCCGAUUCGACCCCUAGCCUGGGAACCUCCAUAUGCCGUGGGAGCGGCCCAAGAAAUAGCAACAACAACAACAAAAGACAAAAGACAAAAAGACAAAAAAAAAAAAAAGAAAAGAAAAAUGAGCCACUGAAGGUAUAUACAAUGGAAUGACAGGUGUGGGAAAGAAAGCAGAAUUAAAUAAUCACUCUGAGAGGAUAGCUCAGUUUUAAAUAUAUGAAUUGCCUGUAUGGAAGGCAUGUGCCCUCCCAUUUAUCAGAGAUAAACAGUUAUGUUGAUGCCAAAAAAUAAUCAAAUUUUGAAAAGUAGGUGAAAUCAACUGGAUGAAUUUUGAUGCCAUAUUUUAAUCUGCUACUCAGCACAUUUUUCAUCAAGACAGAAAAUAAAUUAUCACUGCCACACCUGAAUUCUCUGUUCCAUCAAACCUUGGGUUAUGCUUUGUUUAUGGAAAUGCUUGACCCUUGCCCCAUGAAAUUAAACAGAUUUUAAGAGCAAAUGUAAGGAAGGGAAAUAAGUCUUCAUCCAGGCUUUGAAGUUACUGGGAGUCUUGAGAUAUCCAGAUGAUAAGCAAAAGUCUGGCCAUCUUUGCAAAUGGCUUGCCCUUUCCAGUAUGUUGUAUUAUCUUAUACAGGGUCUUAACACUUUUACUUUGAAUGUUACCUUAGGUUUUCUGCGAAUAUUGUCAGAGACCCAACAGUUUGACUCCCCAUCCCAUAGACAUUCAUAAAGAAAACUGCAUUAGAAUUUUCUAAUGAACUAGUGAAAAGCUUUAUAAUGAAAAUAUACAUAAAUAGUCAAUCUGUAACCAAUUUCAGUGUAGCACAAAUUUUUUCUUUCUUUAAUGGAAAAGUCAAAGCCUUCCUUUAACUACUUAUUUCUAAUAUUAUAAGUCUUAUGUUCAGUAUAUAUUUAUUUACUACAGAAACCAAAAUGUUAUUCUUUGUUCUAUAAAAUAAUUGUAGUAUAUAUCACCAAAUCUAAAAUGCCAAUUGUUAAGAUGCGCUAUUAUUUUAGUACCAGUAAGAAAGAAAAAACGCAGCACAUGAAUAGUGUUGCUCAAUUAUUAUAAACAUCUCAGUUGUAAAGUUGUUAAAAUAUGCAAAAAGUACAUCUUAAAAAUAAUGGAGUUCCCACUAUGGCACAGUGGGUUGAGAAUUCAACUGUGGCAGCAGCUCAAGUCUCUGCUGAGGCAUGGGUUCAGUCCCUGGCCCAGUGCAGUGGGUUAAGGAUCUGAUGUUGCUGCAGCUGUAGCUCAUAUUCAAGUUCCCCUGGCCCAGGAACUUCCACAUGCCAUAGGUGUGGCCAUAAAAAAAAAAAAAAAAAAAAAAAA